UACGUAGGGGGCAAGCGUUGUCCGGAUUCAUUGGGCGUAAAGCGCGUGUAGGCGGCCAGGUAGGUCGGUUGUGAAAACUGGAGGCUCAACCUUCAGAGGUCGACCGAAACCAUCUGGCUAGAGUCCGGGAGAGGAGAGUGGAAUUCCUGGUGUAGCGGUGAAAUGCGCAGAUAUCAGGAGGAACACCGAUGGCGAAGGCAGGUCUCUGGGCCACUACUGACGCUGAGAAGCGAAAGCAUGGGGAGCGAACAGG
rnacentral:rRNA from 1 species